CCGCGAGGCCACCUUGCCCAGCAGCUUCUUCUGCGCCUGCAGGGCCAGGCUCUUGGUGCUGAAGGCGUCCAUCGGGCCUGCGGGAGGAAAGACACACGCCCGU
ensembl:miRNA